ACUCUGCACAGUGUGAUGGAAAAUCUACAUGUUGUAUUGUUUUGGUCUAUAUGAAUUUAAGUUUUGUUGCUAUUCUGUGUAAUUUUAUAUAGUGUGCCUUCUGCUCUCCUUUUGGGUCAUUUAAAGUGUGAACGUUCGAGAGUCGUGUGAUGCAUUUUAUUGCCUGCCUGUUCCUAUCUUUUCGUGUGUCAUCUCCCAAGCAAUGCUUUGAAGUAUGGGCCUUUUCCUCGACACUCUGGCUAGCGUAAACAAAGUCAGAGAGUUACAUGUCACGGCCGCCGACCCCACCUUAGCCUCGGGGGGGGGGGGGGGGAGCUUCAACUGUAAAGAUAACAAUCUGGUGAACAAAGACUUUUAGUAUUGGGGGACCACCCCCUUCAGGACCCAAACGAAGUGAAUAAGAACUCAUUGAUUGGAAGACUCAGUGGACUUGUCUGAGCGUACCUUCAGAGAAUGAAGUAACACGCAAAGAGGAGCUCCCAUCUGAGGCCUCAGAUUAUUGUAAUGUAUGCCUGUUAUGUUGUUUGUUGAUGCAUGUUGUGAUGUAUCUUUGUUCGUACUUUUAUUACAAAUAUAUAUAACCACUAAUUGUCAACAGUAUUGUGUGCUUUUUGCAUCUAAAUAUCUCAUCUGCUUAGACGCAAUAUCUGAUACAGAAAUUGCCACGACAGUUGGGGGCUCGUCCGGGAUAUCUAACCUGAAGAUUCUACGAAAUAUCAGCUUCCAAUACAGGUCUGAGGAUUCGUUCUCAGUCCCAAAGCUCUACCUCGCCUCCAGGUGACUGUAACCAGACUGUAACCAAACCAGAGGUCGAGGAAAGGGUGCCUGAGGGGAUAAACUAGUGGUUCUUCAGUACGGUAUCCAAAGGAAAAAAGAAUUCGAGCAGGUGAGAUCACAAUACUGUUAAAGCUUCAAAAUAAAAUCCGUUACAGGAACGGUAUAUAAAUGUUUCGGUAAACGUAAACUUAUAUCUGAACUUAGGCCUCGUUCAAAGAAACUCUGUUAUAGGAACAUGCGGUAGCUCCGUUUCGCUUCCGUCAAUAUAUAUAUGGCUAUAUAGGUAACAGAAAGGGCAGCUAGGGUCUGUCAGGGACGGUAAAGGGAAACCCGUUGAAGCGCGGUUGGUGUUAUAUAUAUAUAUAUAUAAAUAAUAAUAAUAGGUAUUCAUUAAUAAAUAUAUGUAUAUGUGUGUAGUAACAAGGAGGUUUCGGCGAUAUUAGAUAAUUUGUUAAAUAAUAAUUAGUGUAAAAGGAUCUAAAAUAUGGGGAACAAAUCUGGAAAAACUGAGAUAACGGGACCUGCGAAGGUGAUGUUGGAGAAGCAUGGUGAAGCGGCUCUGGAGGGUUUAAAAUAUUGGUGCAAACUGGGUUUUCCUGAAAUGGGGAGUUUUAGCUUAAAACGAUUGUUGGAGUCAGAAAUGAAAAAGAAAAGUUCCAAACUAUGUUGGUGCGCAUUUUAUUUGUGGGAAAGAGAGGGCCAGGAUAGAAAAAAAAAAUCAGCCAGGGACAGAGAGCGUAGAGAGUGUAGGGAUUUUUAAUCUCAAUGUCACCCGAGAUAUAGACCCGGACCUGGACUGCACCGGCGGACCGCGUGCAAAUCCCCCUUCUCCUCCCCCGUAUGACAACGCCCAUGAAGCCGCCUACCCUGACCCCGAAGAAGAGGAGAAAGCCCCCGCUCGCAGCGCGAGAGAAGAUAGGCCUGCAACUCGUAGCCAGGGGAAUGCUCCACAAUCAUUCCAGCAGGCGACGGCCACACCGACCAAGCGGGAACCCGUCGCCAGCCGCUUGAGAAACCAGGGAAUGGCGUUCUCCCCAACUCUUAAACAUGGGGACGUGAUGGAUGGACAAUUCCCCAUGAUCGAAGUACUGAACCCCCAGGAUGGCAGUCCAGCAUACGUUUUCCGUGCAUGGAGACCCAGUGACAUUAAGGACAUAGCGGAAUGGCUCCCAGACCCAUCUGCAGUGGGAGGGGCUGCCUUCGCCACAGCCCUUCAAGAGUUGGUCCAACAACACAAGGCCUCCAUCAGCAAAGUUCGCCAACUCUGUACGUACAGCCAAGGCGACAUGCCCGGGAGGGACGAAGCCAAGAAGCUCCAGCUCACCCAACUGGAGGCCCUGGAGAAUCCUAAGCCCACCCGUCGCAACAGAGACCAAAGAGGCGACCGGCCGAAAGAAAAGAGAAAGGAGAACGCCGGACGAUGGAACUGUCAUUAUUGUGGAGCCAAGGAUCAUUGGAUCAAAGACUGUCCGAAAGAAAAGAGAAAGGAGAACGCCAGACGAUGGAACUGUCAUUAUUGUGGAGCCGAGGAUCAUUUGAUCAAAGACUGUCCCAAGGAAAAAGAGAGAGGCAAAGAUGGAAGGGGGCAUUCGCAUUGACGGGACGCAGGAGCAGACCAGGUCCAAGGAGGCGGUAUGAACACCAUGACACAAACACGCAAAAUGGUCUCAACGUCACAACGCACACAAGCACCACAUCCAAAUUAUUGUUGUAUGGUUCUCACCAGCAUUACGCGACCUGAUCAGCUAAAUGUAAUAUUAUAUAUGGUUAUUAUAUAUAGUUAUGAUAUAUGGUUAUAGUAAACAACGGGCUAUUGUAGACAGUGGAUACUCGAUUUUUACAAUCUAUCACAACCAAUUUAAUGGUCAACCAUAUCACACAGCCAUGACCCCAACUGACCCAGACUAACCCCGACUGACCCCCGACUGACAACAGAAGUGUAUUGCCUAAUAUUGAAAAUGCAGAUUUUUAUAUUAUGAUAUUUUGUUAAUGUUUUAUGGCCAAAAUGGCAACAAGGUGAAUUAAUGAACGUAUGAGAGAGAUUGGAAGUAUGUGUUAUGGAAGGAGAAGAGAUAGAUGAGAACGGAAGGCAAGACAAGAUAAGGAAAGGGGUGGGGAGAAAGAUAACCCAUCUGCAUCAAGUUUUGUUCAAAUAGAUCCGGACCUGGACAACGCUCCUCCUCCUCCUGCUUUCAGCCCGACCAGUGGCCCAAUACAGUGCAAAUACCCCACGUCACAACUCCUCUGCAUCAGACUUUAUGAAGUUACAGACCAUGGGAGGCCCACCUGAAGAGCUACGGAACGGUCUGCUGGACGACACAAGGAGACAGUCCAGCAGGACCAACAGCACCAGAGUGGUGGCCUCCAUGGUGCCUGUGUAGCCAUAAGGAAGUGGCCUGAACAUUGAGAAAAAGGAGGGUCGCAGAGACGGGAGAGACGUGGGGACAGGCACUUCAAAGGACAGCCCGUGAUGCAAAUGAGAGGCAGAAAGCAGAGAGAGAGGUGGAGGCGUGUCCAGGCGGAUGGAGAGAAGAGCAGUGUCCCUCAGAGACAUCAUGAAGGACAAUGGGAAAGAGAAGAGGAAUACCGUUUAAAUGUUGGGUUAUACUGUGUGUUAUUAAUGCU